CCACAGAAGCCCCUCAAUGAGCGUGCCGGUGGGCCACUCGCAGGGAUACACAGAACAGAUUGAACAGCGAAAAGAAACGAAGGUCCACGCGAACCUCGCGUAUUCUAGUAUGGGCGCCGUACUUGGGCGGGAAAACACCUUGGGGUAGACGGGGCCGAAUGUUAGCGAAGCAGCCUCUACCCACAGAAGCCCCUCAAUGAGCGUGCCGGUGGGCCACUCGCAGGGAUACACAGAACAGAUUGAACAGCGAAAAGAAACGAAGGUCCAUGCGAACCUCGCGUAUUCUAGUAUGGGCGCCGUACUUGUAUACUUGCAUGUCAUCAGCCAAGCCUUAUCAUGACCUGCCUCGCUGUCUAUGUUCUUGUAUUCCAUUGUUAUACCUGAU
rnacentral:lncRNA from 1 species